UCAAACUUGGUCAUUUAGAGGAAGUAAAAGUCGUAACAAGGUCUCCGUUGGUGAACCAGCGGAGGGAUCAUUACCGAGUUUUCAACUCCCAAACCCCUGUGAACUUAUACCUUUACCGUUGCUUCGGCGGGUUUUCGCCCCGGAACGCGGGCCCCCUUCGUAAAAAAGGGGGGGCCGGCCCCGGAACCAGGCGCCCGCCGGGGGACCCCAAAAACUCUUGUAUUUUUUUACCUUUAGCAUGUCUGAGUGGAAUCAUACAAAAUGAAUCAAAACUUUCAACAACGGAUCUCUUGGUUCUGGCAUCGAUGAAGAACGCAGC
rnacentral:misc_RNA from 1 species